rnacentral:hammerhead_ribozyme from 1 species
AUUCAGCUGAUGAGUUCCAAAUAAGACGAUAUGCGCAUCUAACUAGAU